rnacentral:rRNA from 1 species
CAGCCGCCGCGGUAAUACGUAGGGUGCGAGCGUUAAUCGGAAUUACUGGGCGUAAAGCGGGCGCAGACGGUUACUUAAGCAGGAUGUGAAAUCCCCGGGCUCAACCUGGGAACUGCGUUCUGAACUGGGUAACUAGAGUGUGUCAGAGGGAGGUAGAAUUCCACGUGUAGCAGUGAAAUGCGUAGAGAUGUGGAGGAAUACCGAUGGCGAAGGCAGCCUCCUGGGAUAACACUGACGUUCAUGCCCGAAAGCGUGGGUAGCAAACAGGAUUAGAUACCCCUGUAGUCCCUGUCUCUUAUAA